rnacentral:tRNA from 1 species
GUCCCCAUCGUCUAGUCCGGUCUAGGACACCUCCCUUUCACGGAGGUGACCCGGGUUCAAAUCCCGGUGGGGACG